GUCUAUGGCCGUACCACCCUGAAUGCGGUGAAAUUGUCUGAUCUCCGAAGGUAAGCAGGGUCAGGCCUGGUUAGUACUUGAAUCAGGAGAACUUUUCAGUGCUGAUGUGAGAUCUGGGGGAUC
rnacentral:rRNA from 1 species